AUGUGUCAGAGUGGAGGAGUUCAGGGUGGAUCAAAAAACACUGGACUUUCGCCCAUGAGACCGGUGUUCGUGUCCUUUGUGAAACCGGAAGUCAAAGUUGAUAUAUUUGCCCCCCAAACAAAAA